GGGGAAUAUUGCGCCAUGGGCGAAAGCCUGACGCAGCGACGCCGCGUGAGGGAUGAAGGUUUUCGGAUCGUAAACCUCUGUUAGAAGGGAAGAAACCGCACCGUGCUAAUCCGCGGUUCCUUUACGGUACCUUCAAACGAAGCACCGGCUAACUCAGUGCCAGCAGCCGCGGUAAUACGGCGGGGGCAAGCGUUAAUCGGAAUUACUGGGCGUAAAGCGCACGUAGGCUGCUUUGUAAGUAAGGGGUGAAAUCCCACGGCUCAACCGUGGAACUGCCUUUGAUACUGCUUAGCUUGAAUCCGGGAGAGGGUGGCGGAAUUCCAGGUGUAGGAGUGAAAUCCGUAGAUAUCGGGAGGAACAUCAGUGGCGAAGGCGGCCACCUGGACCGGUAUUGACGCUGAGGUGCGAAAGCGUGGGGAGCAAACA
rnacentral:rRNA from 1 species